ensembl:lncRNA
CCGGUCCGUUUCAAGAACAAAAGCAGUGUUUGGUUCCAGUCAGCUGCCGGAGAACAUGCUCCAGAUUUGACAAACGUUGCAGUUAGUUGCUUUUGUGAGUUUAGUGCGCGGUGCAAAUGCUGUAAAAUGUUUUUCACAUGAUGCAAUAUUGCCAGCAGAUAAUCACUGGAGCAUUAAACCAAAAGAAUUUCUGUAUAUCCUACAAGCUGCAGGAGGAUAAGAAAAGGUAAACAGAAAGUGGUGUCUUGAAUUAGUUGGAUACUGCAAGUAUGGAGAGUAUUGAAUGAAAUCCUUUUCUGCAUCUUUAAUCUGUUUUAUGAAGUGCGUCUUCAGAAGGUAGGUAGGAGGUAAUUACAAAGGAAGACAGCCCCAAUUUGUUUGUACUGGAUACAGAGGUACUACAGUUACGUAUGAACAUUUCUCAUGGUAUGGAACAGAUCCUUCAGAUCCUCAGGACAGAUAUUAUCCAUCUUCCUUUAGUCAACAGCAAGAAAUCUGAGGUUAAGGAUUCUUCCAGUGAAAACAGGCAGCAGUGUUUUCUAGUCAUCUAUAGUGGUUAUUCCAGAAGCUCAGACUGCUGCUUUCCUUCUUUCCCUGCUCCCAGCAUGGUUUCUGCAGCAAAGAAACUGUGAAGUAUUAAGGGAGAAGUGCAGCUACCAACACUUGAAAUGUUUAAAGGAAGGCUGUGAUUCAGCACGCUCCUGCUCACAGAUUUGAUGCACGUUUUGCCGGUUGCUGACUACUGAGGCCUUCAAAUUCCUCUUUGUUGGAGAUGGGAAAAGAGGAUGGAAGCCAUAUGGACAGACUCAGAGGAGAGGGUAAAGUGACCAGGAGAAGCCCACAGAGAUCUUUCCCAAAGGAUGAGUGAGAUGAAACUGAAGGAAUGAACUCCCAUUGCCUUCUUCCUUCUGUGGACAGUGAAUACACAGACUUAAAAAAAAAUACAAAAAAAAGAUGUGUUUUGCUUGAAGUGAUGGUGCCUCCAAAUGCCCCCAUGAAGUCAGUUUUCCAGAUUAAAGCAUCAGGUGUUUCCUGUUCUCCAGAACACACCUAUACAAGCUGUCCAAGUGGCCUGUACAGUUCAAGGGAGUGUUGCCAGCAAUAGAGUUUUAAUGCAUACAUAUACAACUUCAAGGGUGUGCAUUCUUCUGCUUCCCACAGCUGCGCAGCUCACAUAUGAGAGCACGAAGCUGAAGCGAGCGGCCUGGGCUGGUGCUGCAGAUGAAAUCUUACGCUUCUGUGCCUAGCAAUGAAGUUUUAAUCACCUCAAUAUACAUCGUUCCACAAUAUAUAUUUUUCUGUCUACCAAAGACAUAAUGGCUCCUCCUUUUAUGGGAAACCAGGAUUUAAUCCAGCAAAUAAAUGACAGUAUCAGAGACCAUCCAGUGUCCUCCUCCAUGCGUGGGCAUCUCCCUGCUUACUGAGCCCAUCCACCUGACCCCACCAAGACGGGUGCUGAAAUUCAGGUUACCCCAGAAGGGAUCAGAGGAGGGAACCCCACGUUUCAGGAGUGGUUUGUGAGCUACCUGCCGGUUUUGGCCCCAGGGAGGAGGCUGUUAUAUUGCAACUGCCCUGUGCUAAAGGGUUGGUUAAAAAGCACCUCGGAAUAAAGGAGGCGGAAAGCUCAGACCAGAAUGGAGAGCUGCCAGGAAGCAGACAGCUGCAGGAGGAAAUGGCAGAGAGCAUCCAUGUGGUGCCAUUGUGCCAAGGCUGAGGGCAGCAGCCAGCCCAGGACGGGCAGCGGGACAUGGGGACGUGGUGGCAGAGUCACUGAAGGCCCUGGGAGGGAGCAGAGGCGUGAGUGCAUCACCCGUAUGGUGUGCCAGUUGUUGCAGCCUGCCUGAUGCACCUGGGAUUUCUAAGAUGGCAUUCUGUAUCCAUUGACACAGAAGAUAAUUUCCCAGUAUUUUCUUUAAUGAACGACCUAUUAUGAACAAGCAAGAAAAACCCAUACUGCACAAUUCUUCCACAGAUAAACUGGAGGGAUAUCCAGAUUUCAGGGACGGAUCCUGGAAGAACACUCAGGCGGUAAUGACCUCUGACAUUUGGAAGGCCAAAUAAUAGUGGAAUAAGUGGCUUAGACAGAGUUAAGCCAGAGAGAAUGUUCCACCCCACACUGGCAUGGUGCUCUGCUUCGCUCCAUUUCACAUCUCUGCUUGUCCAUGAAGUCAUGUCCCUAAAUCCAGAAAGUUUCCAUCAGAAAUGCUCGAUAUUGCAUGUUUAGUGUAACUCUUACACCCUGUCAAAACUUCUAAAGCACAACAAAUUCAUCUGGAAAUUCAGAUCGCUUCCGACAGUGCUGUUGCGGGGAUAUAACAGGAGCUCUGCAGGGAGAAGGUGGGAUGAAGGCACUGAGAGGGGAUCGUUGCACAGGGGGAUUGAUUGCCAUGGAGGAAGACCAGAAAAGGGAUAAAAGACAGCAACAAAAUGAAUAGCAAAGAAGGUGGAAAGAGGAAACAGAAAUGGUGAAGUGAUACCAUAAUACUCUACUGGCUCAAAAGCAAGGAAAAAUUAUGAAAACAUUAAUUUAUUAAUUUUCAGCCAAAUGAAAACGAAGCAAUAAAAAAAAACCCCAAAAAUAGUGCAUAAAAACAGAGCAGAAAUUAGAACAUGUGAAGAAAACAGGCAGCAAAGGAAGAGGAAAUGAAGAGUGGUGAAACAAGUGUUGGAAAUAAAGGAGUGGGGGUGAAGAAGCAACACAAAGAGGUCUGAUGCUCGGGGCUUUUAGGUGGACUUUACCCUCUCACAGUCUCUCCCAGUUCUAUUUUGUAUCACUGUUGCUCUACAAGGGAGACAAAGAACAGACAAGAGGAUAAAAUCCCAGCUGCUCCGAAGAAGCACGGCGUGUGGCAGUAUUUGGAGCAGUGGCAGGAAGCUAAGAAAUAAAAGAGAUUGACCCUAACCCAACAAUCAAAAUUAAUGCAAGAGAAUUUAAUGCAAGGCAAGAUCCACUUCUAUGAGAGGCCCACAAGAUGCGAAUAUCCUCACGUCUCCAUUGUCUUAAGAAUACAGAGCACACCUCGGCUAAGAAAACUGGGACUUGCCAUGGAGCUGGGUCUGUCGCCUUGGGACAUAUCCUCCUGCCCAUAUUGUGCUGCGGGGCAAAGCAAAGAGCCCUUUUCUCUCCCCUGUAAAGACAAAUUGCAGCACUCGUGGUGGCUGGAGCACGGAGGAGGCUUCCUAAUUGCUCCCCACAGGAUGGAAGUCACCCAGCCCCGUGCUGGUGGGCAGGGUGGUGGGACCUGCUGCGGGGCACACACAAAAAGUGUUCCCUGAAGGGUGGUGCUGCUGAAUCCUGCCCUGAAGGCAGUCCUGCUGCUGACACGUGGCACUGCCUGUGAGGUUAGGUAAGAGAUGUAGAGCUGUACGAAUGUGGGAUUCUGCAUUGUUUUUACACCAGGAAGAGAAAAACGUGUAGUGUUGACCUGCAUUUCAUCAGUUCUUGUAAAAAAAAGAGACUUCUUAAGAAAUGAUGUUGCUUUCUCGCUUCUGAACUGAACAGUAAGUCAUACAGAAUAAAAAUUUUAAAUAAUAGCUAUUAGAUUAGGAAGUCUAAGAAGCUUUUACUUCUUGGACGCUUUGACUAUUAAAGAAUUGAUAAAUUGCCACUGAAAUACAAGCAGCUCUGCAAUAUGAUAGAUCAAAGUUCAUUUUUUCCCUAACGGAGAGUUAAGAUGAGCAGGCUUUCUUUUUGCCCAUCUUCUUUCCAGAUCAAAAACAUUCCUUUCUUUUUAUUUGAGUGAUCAAUUUACUAGAAGAGUCCAAUAUAUGUGUUGUGACUGUAGUAAAAUUCUUAUUCACAAGCCUUUAAGUAGUAAUACAGCGUGCUGGUUGGCAUUAUGCAAACCUCAGUACAUCUCAGAACCACUGUCCAAAGUAAAUAGCAUGUCUCUUCCACAUGAGACUGAUACAAAGGUAAUUAAUUGUAUUUCAUAAAGUGAUAUUUCUUAAAGCAUUCUGACCACAGUAUUUAAAUAAAAGCUUUUUUAAAUGGCACUUCUGCACUGAAUUAGCACAAAGACUUCAGAAUAUUGUGUUUUAGCGGACUGUAUUCCAGAGAAAGUAUUUAAAUGUCUAACAUGUAAAUCUUGGAAAGAUACUUUAAACUUAGGGCUUUUUAGAAGUGCAUUAAUUGCAUCUCAGUUUAGGCAAAAGAGGUUUGUUUUUCAUUUUUGUAUAGACUUUCUUGUGUAUUAAACACCUGUUAUUAUUUUAUUAGCAAGUCUCAGUCCUCUCUGUGAUAAUUCAUAUCUUCUAAAGUAUGUAAUGAAUAUGCAGUGUUAAACACUGUUAAGCGCAGGAAUUAUGUUGACAUCCUUCAGAAAAUACUCUAAAUGUGUGAUUUCCAGCCCACUAACCCACAAAUAAGUUGUGUACAGGCUCCCGUUGAGAACAGGCUCCCGUGGAUCAUCGGGUAAACACUGUCUACCAGUAGAGCUGGGGGAGAGAGAGACAUUUCCAUUUUAAAAACAGUUCUGUAAAGAAAAUCCUUAUGUGGGUGUCUGCACAUAAAGUGCUGCUGAUCCUAGGUCAGACACUGUGUGUACAGACUGUCACCGCAGCGUUUGUUCAAAGAGGAGGAAAAUCCCACAGGUGGCCCCGUGAAAGGCUCAGCCUUGCAGAAUGCUCUGCAAUCUGAUCCAGCUGAACACUUAAGUGUGCACUUAGUGUUAAGCUUAAGGGACAGUGCCUGCUUUGCUAAAUGAUCCAGGAUCAAACGCGUGUAUUCCUGAAGGAGGUAUAUAAUGUGUGAAAAUAAAUCGUAUGGAAAAGCAUGUACAGGUAGCUAGAUAGGUAAUUAGGGAAGCUGAUGAUUUCAGUUCAAGGAAUGCUUUCAUUUACAGUGUUUUGUUUCACAUUAAUCCUUCAGCAGUCUACCACAGUUUAUAUCUGGCCAUGAAAUUUUCAUCUAUGUAGUGUCUUUCUUUGAAACUUAAGAGAUUUACAGUCUCUCAGCCUGAUUUAUCUCAUCUUGACGCUGAUGACAAAAAUCCCAGUUUUGCUUCUGAAGGGUAUGAUUGACUAGUUAACAUUUAUUCCAGCCUUGGAGAAGGACAUCUUGCUUAUUUUAUAGAUAAAGUAUGCCAAAAUAAGAUGAAGAGUCUUUAUCAACGUUGCUUAGUAAGUUAGUGGCACAAAGUCGUAGAACUACGGAUUCCUCGGCCUCUCUCCAUUGCUUUAUGCUCUUUUGAUAACGUGUUUGUAUUUCCAUAGCAAUAUUAUUCUGGCACGUGGUAAUGCAAUAGUUUUGAAAUAUGCUUUUCAUGCGAUGUGCGAAAACAUAAAAUCUAUAGAUAUGCGGCAUACAUGGG